UACUUUCAGUUGUGAGGAAGGGUGUGUAGUUAAUAGCUGCGCAUCUUGACGUUAGCAACAGAAGAAGCACCGGCUAACUCCGUGCCAGCAGCCGCGGUAAUACGGAGGGUGCGAGCGUUAAUCGGAAUUACUGGGCGUAAAGCGCAUGCAGGUGGUUCAUUAAGUCAGAUGUGAAAGCCCGGGGCUCAACCUCGGAACUGCAUUUGAAACUGGUGAACUAGAGUGCUGUAAGGGGGGUAGAAUUUCAGGUGUAGCGGUGAAAUGCGUAAGAUCUGAAGGAAUACCAGUGGCGAAGGCGGCCCCCUGGACAGACACUGACACUCAGAUGCGAAAGCGUGGGGAGCAAACAGGAUUAGAUACCCUGGUAGUCCACGCCGUAAACGAUGUCUACUUGGAGGUUGUGGCCUUGAGCCGUGGCUUUCGGAGCUAACGCGUUAAGUAACCGCCUGGGGAGUACGGUCGCAAGAUUAAAACUCAAAUGAAUUGACGGGGGCCCGCACAAGCGGUGGAGC
rnacentral:rRNA from 1 species